ACAAAAAUUUUAGCAUCAACAUAAUCCUCAGGGAAAUCUGCUUUGUUGUAUUGUUCCUUGUCUGGAGUAACAACAGUCUCAUCCUUUCCCUCAGUAACAGUUUCAAUUGAAGGCACAUUCUGCCCCUUGACAACUAAUGUGACAGGUGUGAAACCCUUCUGGUUCUUAAAUCCCCUGGCCCUUGGUCCCCUAUUUAGCUCAUUCAAACCAUCAAUACCCUCAUUUCGGUAACCAAAAUAACCAUUGCCUCGCCCUCUGGGUUUAUAUUUGCUGUCGAUGGCCAACCACCCAUUUGCAUUUAUCCUUGAAUCAUAACCAGUUGAUCCAAUGCCCAUACUAGACCUAAAAGUAUUUCCAUAUUGACCAUAAAACUUGUUUGGGUACAUUCCAUUUAUGUAUCCAUGAGUUGAUCCCAUGCCAGAAAUAGGAGCCAGGUGAUGCAAUCCCUGCAAUGUAUGUUAACAUAGUCAAAUAAGAUUAGAUGCUAACCAAAUUAACUUUACAAAAUCUGAUGCCUGAUUAGAAAUACAAUUCCAAUUAAACUAAAUACUAGAUUUUAAAAUCACUCAGUCAGACAUUGAAAAUGUUAAAAAAAAAAUCAAUUCAGAUACUCAGGCAAAUACGUAGCCAGUUCAGAAUCCUAAUAGAUUCUGCGCCUUAACUCGUAACUCAUUCAAAAGUUUUACUUCAGUCAUUGAGAAAAACAAUCAUAUAAAUAAAAUAAUAAAAUUCUGCCUACCAUAUAACUGGAGUUUUGCCGGAAAUUAUGGUUCCUUGAAGAUGGAGUAUUAUUUGCCUUCAAGAAUGAAGAAGCAAUGCCAGUGCUUCUGUACUUCCCAUCAAAGCCAAAUUUUGGAUCCUGAUAACCAGCAGCAGGUAUACCCCCUGGCAUAAUACCCCUUCCAUUUGUAUUAUUCAAAUUCAACAAUGAAUUUUGAUAUGUUGGUUUAGUAGGAAUUGAACCAUUGUUCCCCUUCAAUCCUCCGCCAUUGACAAUGGUACUAGAAUUCACUUUGGUUUCUGCCAACUUAGGCUUCUGGUCAGGAGCAGUGGAGGAAGUAAGCUCGCCUUGAAUCGAUACUGCCUGACUUGGAGUGAAUGAGCUGCUGUUAGGUGUCAGCGGCUGGAAAUAAGCAGGAUACUGGUAGUGCUGAGGCCCAUAUAUCUGGCCAUCAUUUACCAAAGUUGGAACUGGGGAAGCUGCAGGUGAAUAUGGGCCAUAAGGUGCAUAUCCAUAACCAUUAUGAUACAUAACAGGCCCAUUA
rnacentral:lncRNA from 1 species